rnacentral:misc_RNA from 1 species
GCCUUUCAAGAGGGUGUUCCAAUUGAGAGCUGGUUUGAUGACCCUUAUGACAAAGAGUUACUGUCACUGCUCCCAUUUUUGGAAAGCUUAGUUGGAGUGGAAGAUGUUAGACCGAUUAUCUCAAGCAAAUUCAACCUUCGGGAGAGAAUAGCUGCUGCUGCUUGUCCUUUUAAUUCUAUUAUAGGAGAUGCGUUUGAGAGAUAAGGAUGUGCCUGCCCAUAUAGAUUCAGUCUUGGUAACUUGAAUUUUAGAUUUCAAUGGCUCUAGAUGAGUUGGAGGAAUUGGCUGUGAAGGUGAAGCCAGUUUGCUAGAGAGGCUGGUUUGUAAUGUUGGUUAAUUUAUGUAAUUCUCAUUUAUCUUGUAAUGGUGUCAUAACGAAGCUUUGAUGUUG